rnacentral:rRNA from 1 species
AUACGGAGGGUGCAAGCGUUGUUCGGAAUCACUGGGCGUAAAGGGCGCGCAGGCGGUUUGGUAAGUCAGAUGUGAAAGCCCACGGCUCAACCGUGGAAGUGCAUUUGAAACUGUCAGACUUGAGUACUAGAGGGGAAAGUGGAAUUCCCGGUGUAGAGGUGAAAUUCGUAGAUAUCGGGAGGAAUACCGGUGGCGAAGGCGACUUUCUGGCUAGAUACUGACGCUGAGGCGCGAAAGCGUGGGGAGCAAACAGGAUUAGAUACCCCAGUAGUCC